rnacentral:rRNA from 1 species
AACGAACGCUGGCGGCAUGCCUAACACAUGCAAGUCGAACGAGACCUUCGGGUCUAGUGGCGCACGGGUGCGUAACGCGUGGGAACCUGCCCUUAGGUUCGGAAUAACUCCCCGAAAGGGGUGCUAAUACCGGAUAAUGUCUUCGGACCAAAGAUUUAUCGCCUUUGGAUUGGCCCGCGUUGGAUUAGCUAGUUGGUAGGGUAAAAGCCUACCAAGGCGACGAUCCAUAGCUGGUCUGAGAGGAUGAUCAGCCACACUGGGACUGAGACACGGCCCAGACUCCUACGGGAGGCAGCAGUGGGGAAUAUUGGACAAUGGGCGAAAGCCUGAUCCAGCAAUGCCGCGUGAGUGAUGAAGGCCUUAGGGUUGUAAAGCUCUUUUACCCGGGAUGAUAAUGACAGUACCGGGAGAAUAAGCUCCGGCUAACACCGUG